GCCGGGCGCGGUGGCUCACGCCUGUAAUCCCAGCACUUUGGGAGGCCGAGGUGGGUGGAUCACCUGAGGUCAGGAGUUCAAGACCAGCCUGGCCAACAUGGUGAAACCCCAUCUCUA
rfam:Pan troglodytes isolate Yerkes chimp pedigree #C0471 (Clint) chromosome 1, whole genome shotgun sequence.